GACGAACGCUGGCGGCGUGCCUAAUACAUGCAAGUCGAACGCAGUGGGGACGGUUUAGUAACACGUGGGUAACCUCCCAUCAGAGGGGAUAACACUUGGAAACAGGUGCUAAACCGAUACUGAUGGAUGGACCCGCGGUGCAUUAGCUUGUUGGUGAGGUAACGGCUCACCAAGGCCACGAUGCAUAGCCGGCCGUAGAGGGUGAUCGGCCACACUGGGACUGAGACACGGCCCAGACUCCUACGGGAGGCAGCAGUAGGGAAUCUUCGGCAAUGGACGAAAGUCUGACCGAGCAACGCCGCGUGAGUGAAGAAGGUUUUCGGGUUGUAAAACACUGUUGUUAGAGAGGCGGUAUCUAACCAGAAAGCCACGGCUAACUACGUGCCAGCAGCCGCGGUAAUUC
rnacentral:rRNA from 1 species